rnacentral:rRNA from 1 species
AUGGCCGGCACCCCAAUGAAUCUCGGCGACCCGGCCGCGGCCGCAUGCCCUUCGGCGAAGAAGGCUCCCAAGAAGCCGCGGUCGGAGCUCACACCGGUGGAGCUCACCAAGCUCGAUGCCGAAUCAACCAAGAGGAGGAACUGGUUGACAAAGGUGGCGAAGAAGAAAGCUGCUGCCGGCUACGCCGCCAAGUCACGAGCCGCGCAGCACCAGGCCGACGCCGACGACAAGGAGUCCAUCGUCGCCAAGGCGCACGCCCUCUUCAUGUUAGGGUUGUGUCGGCCCUCGCUGGCCAUUCUCUCGGUCGCUGCCAUGGCCGUGGCUAGCACAGGCUCGUCGACCGUUCGUCCUUCGCAGUACCGGUCCCCGAGCUCGUCCGUCACGCCGGAGACGCCCGUGUAUCGUGUGCCGCCACUGCAUGGCCAUGGCCAGACCCGGUUCUCCAUGUCGCCGGACGGCAGCGUGGUCACGCCGGCCACGCCCGCAGCCCUCAUCGACCUCAACGUGACGGCCGGGGUACAGCGGCGCUAG